CAGUAGCCGCGGUAAUACGGAGGAUCCAAGCGUUAUCCGGAUUUAUUGGGUUUAAAGGGUGCGUAGGUGGCUUUUUAAGUCAGGGGUGAAAGACGGUAGCUUAACUAUCGCAGUGCCUUUGAUACUGAAGAGCUUGAAUGGACUAGAGGUAGGCGGAAUGUGACAAGUAGCGGUGAAAUGCAUAGAUAUGUCACAGAACACCAAUUGCGAAGGCAGCUUACUAUGGUUUAAUUGACACUGAGGCACGAAAGCGUGGGGAUCAAACAGGAUUAGAUACCCGCGUAGUCCCUGUCUCUUAUAC
rnacentral:rRNA from 1 species